UCCGACGUAAGAAGCGUAAGGGAGGUGAGACAGUUGACGCGGGUGAGACAGCAGGGGGUCCCGUCCCAAGGCUGUGGUCCUGCCUCUCAAUGACCCGAGCAGGCCCAGACAAAAGGGGGUGGAGAGGCUCUACAUCCCUUCAUGUAUAGCAGGCCCACAGCUGGUCCGCCCAUGGAGACAAUGGCCCCCGAGCCGGUGCUCAUAAAUAAUACUUCACAUGCUGCCGGGCGGUGCACACGCACACUCCCCGUGUCUGAGAGGAGGUUACGGUGUCUCUUACUCCAAAACAGCCUGUCGUAAGGGACCAUCUGACGUAUUCAUUCCAUUCCUUGUCAAUGCUCAACCUCAACCGGGUAGAUCUUCGGGGCAGGGUUUCUCCAGUCGUAGACCGGCCCGGCCUCCUAACCACAAGGACUGUAAUUCAACGAUUGCUCCCCGUAUGGAAUCUGGACACACCAUGUAACCCAGAUGUGUGGGUCUUCUCACAUCGCCGUGGACACAUGUUGACAGGACUCAGGUUUGACAUUGUGAAGACGCAGCAUUGCCCCGAAUAAGCCUUUACUCGCUGUCCCAGCUGGACGCAAAUGACGCUGUUUGGAGUAAAUGCUGCGAUACAAAGAAACUUGAGGUGAAAGAAACGCGAGGAGCUGCUUUGGUUCUCGGGGUCAAGCUGCAGUUCUUCUGGAUAUUUCAUGAGAGCGACGGUGUGUGUGUGAGACUACAUCCUCCUGGUGUGGAUGAGCCAAGAGUUGACACAAAGAGUGUGACACACACACACACAAACACACACACACAGCCAGUAAGAUGCGUGUUCAGAAACAAGAAGCAGAACAAGCUGUGACACUAAACCGCACGCGUUGUGAUAUUUUAUAGUCCAGUUGAACGGUUGUCACAGUUGCAACACACACAGACACACUCCUUAUCAGCUCGUCAAACAACAAACAAAUCCACUUCAAAAUGCAAACUGUAACGUAUAUAAAACACAAUCUAUGCUGAGAACAAUGGUAAUAAAACAUUAAAAA